UUUUAUUGGCAAGAAAUAUAGUCCAAGUAAAUCUAGAAUAAUCAUCAACAAUCACAAAGCAUAACGAUUUCUUCCUAGACUUUCAAUGCGGGAUGGUCCAAAUAAAUCCAUGUGAAGCAAUUGCAAUGGUCUAGAAGUUGAAACAAUAUAUUUGGAUUUGAAAGAUGCUUUUGUUUGCUUCCCUUUUUGACAUGAAUCACAAAUAGAGUCAUUUUCAAAUUUUAAAU
rnacentral:lncRNA from 1 species